rnacentral:rRNA from 1 species
GGAGGAAUAUUGCGCAAUGGAGGCAACUCUGACGCAGCCAUGCCGCGUGCAGGAAGAAGGCCCUACGGGUUGUAAACUGCUUUUAUUAGGGAAGAAACCCCCGGACGUGUCCGGGGUUGACGGUACCUAAGGAAUAAGCACCGGCUAACUCCGUGCCAGCAGCCGCGGUAAUACGGAGGGUGCAAGCGUUAUCCGGAUUCAUUGGGUUUAAAGGGUGCGUAGGCGGGACGUUAAGUCAGUGGUGAAAUCC